UCCAAGGUGGGCACCGCUGCUUUAAAUCCACGCCCCUUUCUGUGAGGGGGUGGAGCUUAGUGUACCACGAUCACGUGGAGAAGUGUGGGUGCCCCACACCUGAAGAUGACAGGCUUACUCCCCAGCCUGAGCUCCCUCCUCCUGCAGGUGUCACUAACUCUGGGCUAUGAGACAGUCUCAUACCCAGAAAGAACAGCAGCCUGAGCCAGCAAGCAAGACACCCGCAGCCAGCCUGUGAGGAGCAGCUCAGAGUGAAGACAGGAGUAGAAGAGAGCAAGCAGUCCAGUGGUGACCAGUGCCAAAGAGAAGACAGAAUGAUGAAAAGUCUGAACAGAGCAAUCCGUGCUGUAAAAUAUCAAUAUUUGAGUGGACCUAAUCAGAAUAAAGGUAUUCCAGCUCCUGUGAUUCAGCUUCUCCAAGAGACCUGCACCAAUUACCAUCCUGCGGUGCAGCCCGACUCCUGCGGUGUUCCAGUUCUGCUUCCUGGCUUUCUACUGCUGUCCUGACAUCGGCUUCCAGCGUUGGUUCUAUUCUGCCUCCAGCUUCCAGCGGUGUCCUGGUAUCGUUAUUGCUUCCAUUAACUAUGGCAUCGCUCACUAGCUUCUGUGGUAAAGAGCCACUGGCUUCCAGCUUCCAGCGUGUCACUUACAUCGCUUUCAGCAGUGAUUGGUGUUACCAUCUGCCUACAGCGGUGCUUCCCGUCAUCUCCAGCAGUAUUCAUAUAUCACCCUGCAUAUCAUUCCACACAACAUCGGACCACAGUAUCCAUCGAUGCUCGCCAUUGAACUGAUGCUCCAGUGGUGAGUUCAGCACAUCUUUCCUCACACCGGUUCCGUCCGGUAGUCUCUGGCACUCCUAUCUACAUCUCUUUAACCUCAGUGUAUCAGUGCCUAUCCCAGUCUCCUGUCUACCACCUACUGAGCAGUACUUGCUCGUUCCUCAUUACAGCGGUUAGCUGUGGCCACGGACUUUCCAACUCCGGAUUUUGGCAAGGACUUUGUUAUCUUGUUCUGCAUAGCCACAGUCUCAAAUACCAGUUGCAUUCCCAGGAACUGUACUGCAUUUUCAUUCUGCACUCACUGCUGAAGAUAUCUCAUUGCCAUGAUUUAUACUGUAUGUUUAAUAAACUGACUGUUAUAUUUUA